GACUCUGUUGAUAAUUCUUGAUUCAUGCGCAUGUUUGAAAAUGAUAAAGGCAUUUUGUUGAUUGAGCCUCUCUAGCCAGAUAGCCUACCCUGUUAUGAUCUCUUUGUUAGCCNCNUUGAGCNUAUACUUCCCCCAUUUCUUUGUUUUGAAGCUCAUACAAUAGCCUAAGUGAAAAAACCAUGAUCACCUGAACCUUAGGAAUUUUGGAGCUUUGGAAUUGUUUUGGGAAUAAGUGUGGUCUCUUAAGAGUUGCAGAUGAAUUGGCUAGUGAGUCCUCUUCUUGUGGUGGCACUGUAAAUAUCGUGUAUCUUUUCUUUUGAAUUGUGU
rnacentral:lncRNA from 1 species